UGAGCAAUCUGCCCCUCUCUUUGGAAUAAGCGUUGGAAACGACGUCUAAUGCCGAAUACGACCUCCUUUCGCAUGAUCGGAGGUGGAAAGCUCCGGCGGAGAAGGAUGAGCUCGCGGCCUAUCAGCUAGUUGGUGUGGGUAAUGGCCCACCAAGGCGACGACGGGUAGCCGGCCUGAGAGGGUGACCGGCCACACUGGGACUGAGACACGGCCCAGACUCCUACGGGAGGNAGCG
rnacentral:rRNA from 1 species